GGGAACAAUUGCUGCCCAAGAUCCCAUCCAGCCCUGCCCUCUCCUCGUCUACAUCCAUUCCCCCUUGUCUUGUCACUCCAAGCUCUUAUUUAAAGGAUUCCUCUCUAUCAUGAUGUAUGGUGGUGAUUUUUACAUUUUUUGCAGGUGAUAUAGAACUGUAGGACACCUUUUGUCACUGUUUAGAUAGACUUUAUUUGUCAGAGUUUGCAAUAAUUAGCCUCCAUUUGCUAAUUCUGAAGUCUUACUGAAAGAUGCUUUCCUAUUUUUGUUAAAUUCCAUGGCUGUUCAGGCAGCCAGGCCUCUUCUCCCACCCACUCCCCCUUUCUCAAUCAUUUUCUAAUUGGAAUUAAUGGCACGAUAGUGCUCUGCAAUCUGCUUUGCCAUCUUUAUAACAAAUGUUCUUGUUUUAAUGUAGCUCUUCUCAUCCUGUAGUGGAUUUUAUAGCGUUGCUGCAGAGGAGAUGGUGAAUGGAGGCAUAAAGAUUCCUGUUACACAGUUGCAUUAGCAGUAGCAGUUUAAUCCUGGAUGCUCAGCAGAUGUUUUCUCUGCAGACAGAAGCGGGGAUCUCCAGGAUCAUUCAUGAUGAUAUUCAAGACAAGGUGUCUUUUGCAGCAUUAAUUAAAUCUCCCAAAAGACUGUUUAAAAUACUUAAGGGAAGGUUGACCAGUUCUAGAGGCUUCUCCAGGAUACAGCACUUGCACACCUGUCAGUGUGGUUACUGCUGACUUACCAUGAUGAAAGAACAAUAACUGGUGUUUUUACAAACCAUUCUCAGCAACCAUACACACACAUGCCAGUGUUGACAAGAGAUGAAAUUCUGUAAUUUCAAUUUUGACAUCAGUGAGGAUAUAAAAAUGAUUUAUCAUCUUAGUUCUCAGAGCUCAAAGAUGGAACUUCUGAAGCUGCUGAAAGUAUCUGAAGAUGCACUAGCUCAUGGGACCUGAUGAGAUGUACCCACAGUUCCUGAGGGAAUAUUUCACCUUCCUGCAAAUACAUGACAAGAAACUAGGCAUGUUUCUUAUGAUAUUUUGAUUCAUUAGUAACAUUCAGUUCAGUCUAGCUGUUUUAUUUACAUGUGAGCCUGUCAGUUCCUCUAGUGUUCUGUUCACUGAUUUCUUCUCCAAACGUAGAUUUUCAGAAUGUUUUUGUAAUAUGCUGGUGAAAUUGAGUGUGUCCCCUAUCAGUGAUCAUUAUAAUGAAAUAUUAACUGUUUGAAGUGUUGAAUGUGAAGUCUGCUGGUGGCCUUUGGUUUAUAUGCAUUGUGCAUAACAUUAUUACCCUUGUUUAUGAGGUCAACAAAGAGCUAACGUCUGCCAAAGCACAGACACUUUUCGUGUCAGAGCUGGCUGCUUGGUCAGCAGUCAGGCAUGCUGAAAGUGCAGUGAAUAUUUAUCUUGGACUUGGUUAUGUGUUUUCUAUGUAAUUCAGGCUGUACCAAUGCGUUCACUUUAAAUUUGAACUUAAAAUGAAGCGACAUUGAUGAAGACUUACAUCAUAAUUACAAGCACUAACAAGGUCACUCUGCUAGAAACCCCUCUGCUAGGGUUGCUUUACCAGUCAAAUGAGUAGGAGGAAAUAUUUGACUGAUAAACUUCUCAUAAUGGAAUAACCAGAAGUUUAUUUUGUAGACUGCCAUUUUCAAAACGUUUGGAGCUACUGCCUUACCAUAGGUUACUAAGUAUCCAGAAGAAAGUUUGUGCCAAGCUGCAAACUGCAAAUGUAGCCCAAGAGCUAAGUAACAACUACUUUUCCAAAGGGGAAUCUCAAGUUAGUAUUUUUCCACAUCGUUUUGGUGGUGGAUCUGCUUCUGUGAUGUAUCCAAAUAUUUUUGUGGAACAUAAGCUGGAUUUUGUUAGUGUGCACAUUCUUAUGCUGGAAUGUUCUGUGUGUGUGUUCUUCUCCACCUAAAACUGGAUGUCUUUUUACAAACAAAUAGUGUUUGUUUGGUCCACUCUGAGGUACCAUGGAAGAGUUUCUUGCUGUAUCAGGUUUAUGGGGCAAAGUUUUGGUAGUGGAGGGCUGCAAGAUAAGGUCCUGAAAUAGCCAGCCUAUGUUAGGAAAAUUUACAUUUUCCCUCCUUACCUUGGAAAUCAUGAACAUGACUCUCCCUGCACUCUUUUUGGCUCCUCUCAGGUCACCCAACUCCAAAAUCCUUAUUCAGGGCUUUACUUGAACAUUUUAAAAAAUCUUUUUGAUCAGCUUAAUAUUUGUUCCUGAGAUUAAAAAAAUCCUCUUAAAUGUCUGAAGAAACACACUCUGGAAUUCGUAUUAGGUGGGCUUACUGUCAUUUUUAAUCCUUUGUGGCUCUAAACUUUAUCAGAUGUUUGAUGUAUUUAUCAAAUACCUUGAACAAUUUCUUUUGCUCAAAAGGUUAUCUCUUUGUCAUGUCUCAUCUUUGUCUUGUUCUAUGUCUUGAAGAGAUGUGUGCAAAGCCUUCCCUGAAGAAUUUGGUAACUUCAGCAGCUUGUCACUGGGACCCAGCUCUCUCCUUUAAAAUAGUUCAUUUUAUAAAUGGCAAUUCAAUACAUUUUAUAAAAGGAAAUCAUUAUCAACUAGACAUGGGGAUAGCAGCGGAUUUUUUUUUUUCCUGCACAUACUCAAUUGCUUCACGAAAUUUCAUUUCACAGUUGGAAACUUGACUCUUGACUAGAGCUGUAUGAUACUGCCAAUUUUUGCUUUGACUAUUGAAGUGUAAAAAUAGCUAACUUUGCAAGAAUACAGCAUGUUUAAUCCAGCUCAAGGGUGUCACAUUAUUGUAGAGCAAGUGGUUCUUGUCUUUGAAAAUAACCAGGCUGAAGUAAUGGAAAUAUGAAACAGAAAAAUGUCAUUUGCCUAAAUGUACUCAGGUUGAAUCAAUUGUUAUUUUUUACUUGUCUUAAUUAGAAAUCAAGAUUGUGAAUGGUUAUUUCUUGUUUAAAAUUACACAAAACUGAGCAGAUUGGUGACACAUUGUACUUGUUUGUUUCCUUGCUCUGGUAGCACACAGCACAAUUAAAUACACGUAAAUGUGUUCCCUUAUUGCUCCUCAGAGCAAGGAGCAGGGCCUGGGACAUGAAUUUUUGCAGGGGAUGAUGCUUUUGCUAUGGAAGGACAAGCACAUGACUAAGUACCUGUUGCUGAGUCUUGCUUGAAUCUGCUUGUGGAGUGUUUUUUGAAACAGUUUUUGAGAUAAAUAGGCAGCAUGGGUGGAAAACGUUCUUGAAGCUUCAGCUCUGUGAGUGAGAGUUCAGGGACAGGUGGUAGAAAUAUGGGGCAGAUACACAAAAGUUUCCCUAAGAAACUCAGUUCUCCCACUUUUACUUGCUUUUACUUGCAUGCAUAAUGUCAGACAUCAACUUUACUUAUACAAAAUUUUUAUCACUGAUAGCACUUCCUCCUAGAUUAUGCCUAAAGUGUGAGAAUUGCACAUGUAGGAUGAGAACACUGAAGCUUCUUGUCUCUUGAGACUGAGGGUGCGUGCAACAACUUCAUCCCAGUUCUUGUCUCUGCUCUUUAUUUCUGGGAUUUCUUUCCUUUGGAAAAUACUUGCAAGUCAUAUCACAAGAGCCAAAAGUUGUUCUGAUAUUUAUUAUUUUUCCUCAAAUCUGAAGUCUCUUUCUAGGCUUUCUUGGCAGAUCUCUUCAGGCCUUUUAAUCUGUUGAUCUUUUAUGGGGUUGCCUUAAAAUGCAAUUCCAUCUCUUGAGUACUUGAUGCAUGGACAGUGAUUUGGAGACAAAGCUGGGAUGAAGCAGAGGACUGGGGCUGGGAAGGAUAUUUGGGAAAAGGUAAAUGAGGAAAGGGCCUGUGAAAAAAGAUAUAGGGGAUUGGAUGACAUAUCCAUGAGACAACAGCAUCAGCUUUGUGUUCUGUGCUACCAUUCCCUCAUGGAUUCAGCAAGGCUCUUUGGGGUACAAGUACAUGAUACUGGAUGGUGCUCCAGUAUGUGCUGAAGUGCAUCCCAGACUGGAAUUGGCUUUACAAAUAAGCCCAUCUUUUCAUCUGAUGCAUCUGAUUUGGCGUCUUGAUAAAAGGAAGACAGUAACACAUCAUUCUGUCAUCAGUCUCCAAAGGGCAUGUGAAUGUUAUAAGGAAAUAUCUGUUAAAUCUCCUGGAAUUAGAAGUGACAAUAUAAUAAACACUUUCAGUUUGUAUUUAUUGUGCCUUGUGUGAUGUUUAUUCUUUUGCCUCCUACUGUGAGUAUUAUAUUUGUUGAGAGCAUACAUAUGUUUUCACAUCUGUCAUUCUCCUCUUUCAGUAAAACAUUCAAGAAGCAAGUUGUUGUCCUGGAUGUUGUGCAGAGGCAUACUAGUGUUGGUGAUGUGAUACAUCAUAUAUCACACAUAUCAACAUUAUACACGUGAUGAUGGCAAUGUGUACUUAAAAUAAUUUUUAGUUCUUAACUAUGAGUUUUUUUGACAGAAUAAUGUUGUGCAAGUCCUUGUUCUCUUUAAAUCUCACUCUGUUAACUGUUUUUAACAACCCUAACAUUCUCUGCAAUUCUACCUCCCUAAUUUACUUUAUGAAGUUUAUGAAGGCAUUUUGUGGCAAUUUAGCAUUUUUUUUUCAGAUAGCCAAGGUUACACAACUGUUCUUGGAGAGCUAGGCCUGGCUUCAAAUCAGCUAAUUACCAAAGAAAACCGCAUAGUCUUUAAAGGAGGUUUUAAAUCACUUGCACAGGAGUCCCACGGUAGCUUCAGCCUUAGGAGGCUUUCCUUAAGAAUCAUGUUCAUUCCACAUAAAGCUAAAAUAUGGAGCAUUUUCCAACUUAUCCUUGAAUUUAUUGCAAGCAAAGAAAGAUGAGUUGUGGAGACAAAGUCCAAAUCUGAAUCUAAUCUGUGAUUUAGAUCUGAAGGGGUCAGCAGCAGGCCCUGUCUAUACUAAUUUAUUCUCUUUAAUUGACAAGCAGAAUGAUCUUACUAUUUAUCUUGGUCUUGUGCCUGUAUCUCUGUGGUCUUUGGAAGAAUGUCUUGUCAAAAUCAGUGUUGCAGAAAUGAUCCAUCAUUUGUCCACAGGAAUUCUACAGAAAAUGCAGGUGCAGGGAGCAUUAUGUUCCCCAUAAGUGUCUUUCUGUGUUGCUCCUAAUAUGUAUUAGUACUUCCUACUAAGCAAAAUCUGCCCUAAGAAUGUAUUCUAGUGAUUCUCUUUUCUAGAGAUAUUGUAAAUAAAUUAAUUUAAAAAUCCCACUACAGUUUCUCUAAGCUAUGUGUUAGGGUUGCUGGCUAUUUCUAUUUGCCUACAAACAUUUUAUAACCUUCUUAAUUUGGCUGAGGAGACAAAAACAAUAGGUUAUCAGAAGAAAAUGUAUUUUUCUUGUUUCUAGUUAUUAGAUCUGCUUCUAGAAGAGGAGGAAAAGUCAGUCCUUCAUCUGAGUGCAUGCAAAGAGAGAUCUUACAGGUCAUAUUUGCUAUGGUGCAAGGGCUUAUGAGCAAUUCUUUUAAUUGUCAUGAUAGUCGAAUAACAAAGCUAUGUCCUGGUUAUUCAGUGUAAGUGUCUUUAGGACUUCCAAAGGGACAAGGAAUUCAUGAAGAAGACCAUGUGAGAUUAUAUUAACAUGAGACUUGUGCUUGCAAUGAGUUCUGCUGUGCACGACCUGAGUU